AACGCGAAGAACCUUACCUACCCUUGACAUCCAGAGAAUCCUGCAGAGAUGCGGGAGUGCCGAAAGGAAUUCUGAGACAGGUGCUGCAUGGCUGUCGUCAGCUCGUGUUGUGAGAUGUUGGGUUAAGUCCCGUAACGAGCGCAACCCUUAUCCUUAGUUGCCAUCAUUCGGUUGGGGACUCUAAGGAGACUGCCGGUGAUGAACCGGAGGAAGGCGGGGACGACGUCAAGUCAUCAUGGCCUUUAUGGGUAGGGCUACACACGUGCUACAAUGGUCAGUACAGAGGGCAGCGAAAGCGCGAGCUGGAGCCAAUCCCGAAAAGCUGAUCGUAGUCCGGAUCGGAGUCUGCAACUCGACUCCGUGAAGUCGGAAUCGCUAGUAAUCGCGAAUCAGAAUGUCGCGGUGAAUACGUUCCCGGGCCUUGUACACACCGUAGAGAC
rnacentral:rRNA from 1 species